rnacentral:lncRNA from 1 species
AACAAAUAAUUUUAAUAAAAAAAUGAAGUGGGACACCUUACCUCUACUCAUUAAAAAAGACAUGCUAAUCUUUUUCUUAACAACAAAGAAACGAUAUAACUUUGUAAGUCGUUGAGGGAAUAAUGAAGUGAGCUCUUGUUCCACUUCAUACAUUGUCUACAAAAAGUGUUUCAACUCCUUUAUUCUAUCAUCCUUAACAAGGAUUCUUUCAAGCACAAAUUUGCAUUGGAGCUUACACAAUCUUCCCCCGG